rnacentral:rRNA from 1 species
UGGUGGGUAGUUUGACUGGGGCGGUCUCCUCCCAAAGUGUAACGGAGGAGCACGAAGGUCAGCUAAUCCUGGUCGGACAUCAGGAGGUUAGUGCAAUGGCAUAAGCUGGCUUGACUGCGAGAGUGACGGCUCGAGCAGGUGCGAAAGCAGGUCAUAGUGAUCCGGUGGUUCUGUAUGGAAGGGCCAUCGCUCAACGGAUAAAAGGUACUCCGGGGAUAACAGGCUGAUACCGCCCAAGAGUUCAUAUCGACGGCGGUGUUUGGCACCUCGAUGUCGGCUCAUCACAUCCUGGGGCUGAAGUAGGUCCCAAGGGUAUGGCUGUUCGCCAUUUAAAGUGGUACGCGAGCUGGGUUUAGAACGUCGUGAGACAGUUCGGUCCCUAUCUGCCGUGGGCGCUGGAGAAUUGAGGGGGGCUGCUCCCAGUACGAGAGGACCGGAGUGGACGCAUCACUGGUGUU